GGAAUUUUCCGCAAUGGGCGAAAGCCUGACGGAGCAACGCCGCGUGAGGGAUGAAGGCCUCUGGGCUGUAAACCUCUUUUAUCAAGGAAGAAGAUCUGACGGUACUUGAUGAAUAAGCCACGGCUAAUUCCGUGCCAGCAGCCGCGGUAAUACGGGAGUGGCAAGCGUUAUCCGGAAUUAUUGGGCGUAAAGCGUCCGCAGGCGGUCUUUUAAGUCUGUCGUCAAAGCGUGGAGCUUAACUCCAUUUCUGCGAUGGAAACUGGGAGACUAGAGUGUGGUAGGGGCAGAGGGAAUUCCCGGUGUAGCGGUGAAAUGCGCAGAUAUCGGGAAGAACACCAGUGGCGAAGGCGCUCUGCUGGGCCAUAACUGACGCUCAUGGACGAAAGCCAGGGGAGCGAAAGGGAUUAGAUACCCCUGUAGUCCUGGCCGUAAACGAUGAACACUAGGUGUCGGGGGAAUCGACCCCCUCGGUGUCGUAGCCAACGCGUUAAGUGUUCCGCCUGGGGAGUACGCACGCAAGUGUGAAACUCAAAUGAAUUGACGG
rnacentral:rRNA from 1 species